UACACUCCUGCGGGAGGCAGCAGUGGGGAAUUUUGGACAAUGGGCGAAAGCCUGAUCCAGCAAUGCCGCGUGAGUGAAGAAGGCCUUCGGGUUGUAAAGCUCUUUUGUCAGGGAAGAAACGGUGAGAGCUAAUAUCUCUUGCUAAUGACGGUACCUGAAGAAUAAGCACCGGCUAACUACGUGCCAGCAGCCGCGGUAAUACGUAGGGUGCAAGCGUUAAUCGGAAUUACUGGGCGUAAAGCGUGCGCAGGCGGUUUUGUAAGUCUGAUGUGAAAUCCCCGGGCUCAACCUGGGAAUUGCAUUGGAGACUGCAAGGCUAGAAUCUGGCAGAGGGGGGUAGAAUUCCACGUGUAGCAGUGAAAUGCGUAGAUAUGUGGAGGAACACCGAUGGCGAAGGCAGCCCCCUGGGUCAAGAUUGACGCUCAUGCACGAAAGCGUGGGGAGCAAACAGGAUUAGAUACCCCUGUAGUCCC
rnacentral:rRNA from 1 species